GUCAUCAAUAAUUCACACCGGCAAGUUCCAUUCACGAGUUUUGGUCCAACAUCUUUUUUUUCUGUGCUGCAGCAUGCUUCUAGUGGAAGAUGAAAACUUCACAACCAACAGUAAUAUACUUAGUUUCCCAAUCCGACCCUGGAAUCCCUUUCUUUUCAUCUAACCUGUGGUUUAUUGGUCUGCAUUCAAACGUACGAUUGCCAUCUAAUUUAGUUUUCUUGUUUCUGGGCUCACAUUUUGCAUUUCCCGUGUAACGUGUCGUUAGUAUGGAUUUAUUCUUGCUUUUCUUGUCAAAUUUAGUAGUGGUCAUGAUGUUAUCAUUUCCUGAUAGUUUACACAUUG